CCUACGGGGGGCUGCAGUGGGGGAUAUUGCACAAUGGAGGAAACUCUGAUGCAGCAACGCCGCGUGAGGGAAGAAGGUCUUCGGAUUGUAAACCUCUGUCCUCAGGGACGAUAAUGACGGUACCUGAGGAGGAAGCUCCGGCUAACUACGUGCCAGCAGCCGCGGUAAUACGUAGGGAGCAAGCGUUGUCCGGAUUUACUGGGUGUAAAGGGUGCGUAGGCGGCCCUGCAAGUCAGGUGUGAAAACUAUGGGCUUAACUCAUAGAUUGCACUUGAAACUGUGGGGCUAGCGUGUAGUAGAGGCAGGCUAAAUUCCUGGUGCAUCGGCGAACUGCAUAGAGACCGGGAAGUACACCAGGGGCGAAGGCGGUCUUCUUGGUGUUAACUGACGCUGAGGCACGAAAGCGGGGGUAGGAAACAUGAUUAGCUACCCUAGUAGUC
rnacentral:rRNA from 1 species